rnacentral:tRNA from 1 species
GUUUCUGUAGUAUAGUGGUCAUCACGUCCGCUUCACACGCGGAAGGUUCCCAGUUCGAACCUGGGCGGAAACA